AGCGGGGCGUGAGCUAGUUGUUGAUGAACGGUUCUGCUGUCCAAGAUUGCUGUUGAGUCAGGACUGCUAUUUAAUGACCAGAUGCUCAAAGCUGUGGCAGUGUUGUGUGGGGAUAGCACAUACUGUAGUUGCAUGCAGUGCAAGAUGAACAGCAGUGGCCCAUCAUACCCCCUGGCUUCCCUGUAUGUGGGGGACCUCCACCCUGAUGUCACAGAGGCCAUGCUCUAUCAGAAGUUCUCUCCUGCAGGGCCUAUAAUGUCAAUCCGGGUGUGUCGUGAUGUUAUCACACGCCGGUCCCUUGGCUAUGCCUACAUUAACUUUCAGCAACCUGCUGAUGCUGAGUGUGCUUUGGACACAAUGAACUAUGAGGUCAUAAAAGGUCGACCUAUCAGGAUAAUGUGGUCACAGCGCGAUCCUGGACUUAGGAAAUCUGGAGUGGGAAACAUUUUUAUUAAAAACAUGGACGAGUCCAUUGACAACAAAGCUUUAUACGACACCUUCUCCGCGUUUGGAAACAUACUCUCUUGCAAGGUAGUGUGUGAUGAGAAUGGCUCCAAAGGAUAUGGGUUUGUUCACUUUGAGACCCAAGAAGCUGCCAACCGUGCGAUUGAAACCAUGAAUGGAAUGCUGCUUAAUGAUCGGAAAGUUUUUGUUGGCCACUUCAAAUCCCGGAAGGAGAGAGAGGCAGAGUUUGGGGCAAAGGCUAUGGAGUUUACAAAUGUCUACGUUAAGAACUUUGGUGACGACCUUGAUGAUGGGAAGUUAAAGGAUAUAUUUUCACAGUACGGCAGAACCCUCAGUGUGCGGGUGAUGAUGGACGAGCAGGGCCGGUCUCGUGGAUUUGGGUUUGUGAACUUCGAGAAACAUGAGGAUGCCCAAAAGGCAGUAGAGGAGAUGAAUGGGAAAGAGCUGAAUGGAAGAACUAUGUAUGUAGGGCGUGCUCAGAAGAAACUGGAGCGACAGGGAGAACUGAAGCGUAAAUUUGAACAGAUAAAACAGGAGCGACUUCAUCGCUACCAGGGAGUCAAUUUGUACGUCAAGAACCUAGAUGAUGGCAUAGAUGAUGAGAAGCUGAGGAAAGAGUUUGCGCCAUAUGGCACCAUUACUAGCGCCAAAGUGAUGAUGGAUGGGGGCCACAGCAAAGGUUUUGGUUUUGUAUGCUUCUCCUCCCCAGAGGAGGCCACAAAAGCUGUGACUGAGAUGAAUGGCCGCAUUGUUAGCACAAAGCCUCUCUAUGUAGCUCUGGCCCAAAGAAAAGAGGAGCGUAAAGCCAUCCUCACUAACCAGUACAUGCAGCGGCUGGCCAGUGUCAGAGCUUUGCCUGGUCCAGUCAUUGGCUCCUACCAGCAGUCUUCAGGAUACUACAUAUCUGCCAUGCCUCAGUACAGGUCUCAGUAUUCCCUCAAUUUGGAAGCCCCCGGUGAAGUCAGGGCAUACCAUCCUCAGAAUCGCUCUUUCUACGCCCCCAGUGCUGUUAGCCCAAUUCGCACAGCUCCUCGCUGGACUGCUCAGGGCCCUAGGCCGCAGGCUCAGUAUUCAGCUCAGUUUGUCAGGGCUGCUCCCACACGCAGAGCUUCAACCCCCAUUAGCACGAUGAAGCAGGCCUCCACCCAGGCCCCACGAGGCAUUACCAACACACAGAGAAUGGCAAACAUCGGCACACAGACAGCCGGUGGCCGUGCCCCUCUUUGUGCUACGGUGGUUCGGGGUGUGAACCAAUACAAGUAUUCUCUGGGAGUCCGGAAUGUGCAACAAGUUGUCCCCAUGGCAGCCCAGGCAGCUGUUCAUCCAGUGAUGGAGCCUGCUGUUCAUGUGCGUGGACAGGAGCCCCUCACUGCCUCCAUGCUGGCAGCUGCACCUUUAAUGGAGCAGAAGCAGCUACUGGGUGAGCGGCUGUACCCGCUGAUCCAGACUCUGCAGCCCACUUUGGCAGGCAAAAUCACAGGCAUGUUACUGGAGAUUGACAACUCUGAGUUGCUGCACAUGUUGGAGUCUCCGGAGUCACUCCAGUCAAAGGUGGAGGAGGCAGUUGCUGUGCUUCAGGCUCACCAGGCAAAGGAAAUCCCCCCAAAGAAGUAACUUCAAGAAUUUCCCUUUAGGGAUUAGAGGGGUGCGCAGCCAGUUCAGUGAAGCAGGCAACUGAGAGCACAUUCACUGCUAGCACUUGUGAAGCAGGAAAUUUCAGCGACGAAGCUAUCCUGAGUAAGGUUUAUAUUGAGAAGGAGGAAAAUGAGAACAUGCGAAAAUUAGUUGUAAACAGUGCAUUGCCAGCUUUCAUUUGUAAAUAGCGUAAAAGGCUUGGAAAAAUUAAUGCCAAAACCCAGCAUGCUGUUUACAAAACGUUGUUUGCUUUUGUUUAAAGUUAGGGAAUGGAAUUUGUGCAUUAAAAACCUUAAAUGGGUCUUGGUGUUUUUGUUUUGCUGGGUUGUUGUGUAAUAGUGGAUUCAUAUUUGACCUUUCUGGCUCAUUUUGUGUAUAUUAGUUUUUGCUGAUUAUUAUAUCUUUUCAUCAUAUAUAAAUGAAUCCAACAAUAUUCAGAAUUCAUUGUGUUCACAUUUACAGUACUUUUUUUUGUACAGGGUUAUGUUCGAGCAGUGUUGUUUCAGUUCAUUGAUUUCCACAUGUCUCCCCCUCACAAAUAAAAGGUACUACAGUUACCUU